AGAAGAGGUGCUAAGAGGCUUUGAAGUGGGUCUCAAGAGGUGUCUAAUACAGUCCAUCCUGAGCACGGCUCUGAUUUUCUCAUGCCUCCUACAUCAUAUGAUCUACUUCUAUCACCAUUUCUGCACGGAAUAAAGAUGUCUGCAAUAGUAAAUAAUUUCAUAAGAACUUGAUCAACUGAACUGCACUGAUCCCUUCUAAUUUUGUUUCCUGAAUUCAAAGGGCUUCACUGUCAGCACCACUUCAACAACCCAGGAGCUCACUUUCCAACUGCCCAAAAGGAGAAGUCUCCACUUUGCAUCAGGCAACAUUUUCACCCUUGGCUUCCAGAACAGAAGAUCACAGGCCCUUUAUCAGUGCAAUUAUUGAGGAAGUUUCAAAGAAGUAAACAAUCGAUUGUACUGGGGACUAAUUUUGGAUUUCCUGGAAAAUGUAAUUUUUUUUAG
rnacentral:lncRNA from 1 species